CAUGAGAAUCUGUCGUCAGCAGGAGGAGAGACAACUUACUGAAAGUCAGUUUAUUCCUCUACAUCUCAAAUUAAUUUUUACUGCAUCUGCACACAAUGUACUCAGAGUUCUUUAAAUAAUGAGAUAUAUUAUAGGAGUAUUAUACUUAUACACAGCAAUGCAGGUUACAUACUUUUUAUGUUAUAUCAUCACAUUUCUGCAGUGAUUUCAAAUGUAAUGCAGUAUGAGUACUGCACUCAAAUACAGAUUACAUCGACUUUAACUUCCCCCCUUAUUACUUUUAUAGUUACUUCUUACUAAAUAAUACUUUUUGUUUUAUGAAGUAGGUUUUGUAGUUUUUUUGUCCACAUCACACUUGAUUCUUUUAUUGAUUCCUAAUCAGUUUUCAUUGUGGAAUAAUUCAACCCACAAAGACUUUGAGCGUCCACAGAGCACUUUUAAUCCUCCGAGUGUGAACGAGCUGUCAGACAGAGCAAAGCAAUGCAAACACUACCCUCCAAUGAGUCCCACGUCACUGUUUUGGAAUCUGCAGCUGUGAAAAAAAACAGAAACUGAAUGAAGAGAUCUGGGAAGAUGUGAAAGCUGAAAAGCUGCUGAGAAAUCCAGGAAAGAAAAUGUGAGAGGAGAGUACGCAAUACUGCGUAACUUAGCGUCCUGUCCUUACCUGAGGAUAAGAGCUGGCAGCAGGGAUUCCAGUCAUCAGCAUCAGCAGACAUCCAGUGAACAUGAACACUAGGAACUGCAGAGAGGCUCCCAGCACAGCGAUCAUCAUGGUGAUGACACCAACAAUGUGGAGAAUAAAGAGUUGGGUGGUGCGACCCUCAAGCUGUAGACAGAAGUGUCAUGAAAAGAACUGGCACCACAGAGCGAGGAGGAUGACCACUCCACCAACAAUCUGAACAAACACAAACAGUCUGGUUAGAGCUGCUGCAUCCUUUAAACACAACCAGGACAUGACAUGACUGCACAACAACAAACUCUGAAAGUGGAUUGCGGAAACGUGUGGAGGGAGCAGCACACUGUUGUACACAUGCACCAAGGAGGACAAAACAUCACCACGUAUCAAGGAGAAGAAUCACAGCACGGGGACUGGGAAUCCACGCACUGUGGAUUGUUGGCACUGCUUCAUAGUUUCUUUUCAUUGUAAAUAAACACACUUUUUCCAUUCAGAAAAUUAUGCAUUUGGGUCGUCCUUCAACCAUCCUUGACAAUUGUCUAAUCAAAGAUCAUUUCAUCUGAGCAGAUUUGCAAACCAACACUCCUGUGCACACACGGCAUAGUUGGUAACCUGACCCAAUUUUGGCCCUCGGUCUUAUGUUUCACAUCGCUGCUCUCAGACUAGCACAAUGUUUGAUGUAAAACCAAUUCAUCUAACUGAGGAUAUUAGUGUUGCAGAGUAUAGCGUGGUGGAAACGAAUGGAGAGAAUCCUCCACUAAACUUUUGGAUUGGCAUUACUUUUGAUUUUUUUUUUUAAUAUUAAUGGCAUGCUUUAGUGUUUUUAGUGUCUUGUGUGAGGUGUGGGCCACACCCAUGUGGGAGUGGAGAUUCUACUCUAGUCCAGCUGCCAGCUAUUUGGAGUUGAGUACAGGGAGCAGCUGAUUGGGAAGGAUUGGAGCCCUUCUCUAUAAAGGGGAGAGGAAGUAGGAAGGGGGGAGGUUGUUGUUUUGUUAGUAGGACACUGUUGCAGCAGGGAAGCCUUGGAGACUCCAGGAUGAAGAGUGCACAUUUUAACCUCGCUUGGUUUUGCUUUUAAAAUAAUCUGGUGAUGCUGGAGGGAGGACUUGUUUUAAUUAGGAUUCGUGUGGAUCUGCUGGGAUAAAAACACUGGAUUGGAGGCUCUCUGUGUCCAUGGAAAGGAAACUGGCCAAGAUUUAGAGAAGUUUCAGCUUGAGAGUGGAAGCCCCAGGAUCUGGUGUGGAGACCCAUCCUUGAACAACGCCAGGCCUGAAAAUGCUGGCAACCCUGACUGCGGUGGCUUUGGGCCUUGGAUUCCAGCCCGGAGUUGGGCCUUGACCCAGUAGUUUGACUCGGAGGGAAAAAAAAUAAAUCUUGUGUACCCCGUGCAGUGUGAGUGUGGUGGUUUCUUA